rnacentral:tRNA from 1 species
GGGGGUAUCGCAUAGCAGCAAUUGCAGCAGAUUGUAACUCUGCCGCCUCACGGCUUCGGUGGUGCGAGUCCACCUACCCCCACAA